rnacentral:misc_RNA from 1 species
GGUAAGUCCUUGAAUUUUGAUGUUAUCCUUAAGGUGGGUUUUCUUAUACCCUGUUACAUAGAUCUUUUUAUACUUAGAAAAAUCAGAUUAGAUCUUAAAACUUUUUGAUAUGAUUUAUUCGGCAUUCAAUAUCUACUUCUAUGAUAAUUAGUUUCCCUUUGAUUUAAUUUCUGUUAGAAGAAAGGAAUAAGAUGGUCCUUUUAUGAAGAAUCUUCUUUUUUCUUUUUGAAAAUGCCAUAGCAUUGCAGAAUCAAAC